rnacentral:lncRNA from 1 species
AAGGCAGAGAAAAAAUAUUUUUGUGAGAGAAAGUGUAUUUAAAUCCAAAUAAUACUUUGAUUAAUUGAUACAAGAGUAUCAAUUCAAUAUGGCUGCAGAGCGACUCGAUGAAACAACAAGGAAAGGAAAAAAAAUUCGGUGAAGAAGCAAGCAGAGAGAAAGAAAAAAUUGAUAUUCAGAAUUUUUGAUAAAACUGAAGAAUGAUAAAACAAAACUAAUCUAAGGGUUCGUUUG